rnacentral:rRNA from 1 species
GAUGAACGCUGGCGGCGUGCCUAAUACAUGCAAGUCGAGCGAACAGACGAGGAGCUUGCUCCUCUGACGUUAGCGGCGGACGGGUGAGUAACACGUGGAUAACCUACCUAUAAGACUGGGAUAACUUCGGGAAACCGGAGCUAAUACCGGAUAAUAUAUUGAACCGCAUGGUUCAAUAGUGAAAGACGGUUUUGCUGUCACUUAUAGAUGGAUCCGCGCCGCAUUAGCUAGUUGGUAAGGUAACGGCUUACCAAGGCAACGAUGCGUAGCCGACCUGAGAGGGGGAUAGGCCACCCUGGAACGGAGACACGGUCAAGACUACUACGGGAGGCAGCAGUAGGGAAUCUUCCGCAAUGGGCGAAAGCCUGACGGAGCAACGCCGCGUGAGUGAUGAAGGUCUUCGGAUCGUAAAACUCUGUUAUUAGGGAAGAACAAAUGUGUAAGUAACUAUGCACGUCUUGACGGUACCUAAUCAGAAAGCCACGGCUAACUACGUG